GUGAAGAUGUCCAAUGACUUGGUUAUGCUUACUAAAAAAAUGUUUUUAUUCUUUUGGGUUUUUUCGUUAGAUAAACAAUGUAAUAGAACUUUUUAAAAACAAUAUUUGCACAGUGUAGAAAAGUUUAGUGAACUGGAAUAGACCCUUACUGUCCUUUAACUUCCAGUUUUGGUUGUUUCCAUCUUAAUAGUCGUAGGGAAAUUUUAUUUGGUUAUCUGAAAAUAAUGCAUUAUAAUGUCUAAUACAACAAUUUAAUUAAGCAACAAAAAAUUAGAAUUAUUUAGCAAAGUAGCUGUUGUAGUUGUAAUAGUAUUUCUAUUUGUGCAGCUAAAUUUGUUUUUAAUCAAAAUGAUGAUUCAUAACGACAAUGCAAAUUAUGGAAUUUAUUUACUCAGCCAGGGAUCAAAGAAUUGAACAUUUUAUGGCAAAAUGUGUUAGCUUGAAAAAUAGCUGGAUUGGAGAUUUAGUGAAUUCAGCUAUUUUGGCUUAAAAUGUCCUUUUUUAACUGUCCACAAUUCCCAACUUCAGAUUCAACACAUUAUGGAGAUUAAAUUAGUG